rnacentral:rRNA from 1 species
UGGGGAAUAUUGGACAAUGGGGGAAACCCUGAUCCAGCAAUGCCGCGUGAAUGAUGAAGGCCUUCGGGUUGUAAAGUUCUUUCACCUGUGACGAUGAUGACGGUAGCAGGAGAAGAAGCCCCGGCUAACUCCGUGCCAGCAGCCGCGGUAAGACGGAGGGGGCUAGCGUUGUUCGGAAUGACUGGGCGUAAAGGGUGCGUAGGCGGUUUUUUAAGUAAGGCGUGAAAGCCCUGGGCUUAACCCAGGAACUGCGCUUUAAACUAGAAAACUUGAGUGUGAGAGAGGAAAGCGGAAUUCCUAGUGUAGAGGUGAAAUUCGUAGAGAUUAGGAAGAACACCAGAGGCGAAGGCGGCUUUCUGGCUCACAACUGACGCUGAGGCACGAUAGCGUGGGGAGCAAACAGGAUUAGAUACCCCUGUAGUCC